rnacentral:tRNA from 1 species
GCCUGGGUGGCUCAGUCGAUUGAGCAUCCGACUUCAGCUCAGGUCAUGAUCUCGUGGUUUGUGGGUUCAAGCCCCACGUCAGGCU